GAGGGUGUAGCUCAGUGGUAGAGAGCAUGCUUAACAUGCGCAGGGUCCUAGGUUCAAUCCCAGUACCUCCA
rnacentral:tRNA from 1 species